AUUGAACGCUGGCGGCAGGCCUAACACAUGCAAGUCGAACGAGUGGCGGACGUGUGAGUAAUGUCUGGGACACUGCCUGUUGGAGGGGGAUAACUACUGGAAACGGUAGCUAAUACCGCAUACCAUCAGAUGUGCCCAGAUGGGAUUAGCUUGUUGGUGGGGUAACGGCUCACAAAGGCGACGAUCCCUAGCCGGUCUGAGAGGAUGACCAGCAAAACGGGAACUGAGAAACGGUCCAGACUCCUACGGGAGGCAGCAGUGGGGAAUAUUGGACAAUGGGCGAAAGCCUGAUGCAGACAUGCCGCGUGUAUGAAGAGGGCCUUCGGGUUGUAAAGUACUUUCAGCGGGGAGGCGUUACCCAAAGAAGAAGCACCGGCUAACUCCGUGCCAGCAGCCGCGGUAAUAC
rnacentral:rRNA from 1 species